rnacentral:rRNA from 1 species
CUACGGGGGGCAGCAGUGGGGAAUUUUGCGCAAUGGGCGAAAGCCUGACGCAGCAAUACCGCGUGAGUGAAGAAGGCCUUUGGGUCGUAAAGCUCUUUUCUGAAGGAAGAUAGUGACGGUACUUCAGGAAUAAGCACCGGCUAACUCCGUGCCAGCAGCCGCGGUAAUACGGAGGGUGCAAGCGUUGUUCGGAUUUACUGGGCGUAAAGGGCGCGUAGGCGGCAUAGCAAGUUAAGGGUGAAAUCCCGGGGCUUAACUCCGGAACUGCUCUUAAAACUGCUAAGCUAGAGAUAGUCAGAGGCGGGUGGAAUUCCUAGUGUAGAGGUGAAAAUCGUAGAUAUUAGGAGGAACACCGGUGGCGAAGGCGGCCCGCUGGGGCUUAUCUGACGCUAAGGCGCGAAAGCGUGGGGAGCAAACGGGAUUAGAUACCCCAGUAGUC